UACGUAGGGUGCAGGCGUUAAUCGGAAUUACUGGGCGUAAAGCGCGCGCAGGCGGCUAUCCAAGUCAGUGGUGAAAGCCCGGAGCUCAACUCCGGAACUGCCAUUGAAACUGUUUAGCUUGAGGACGAGAGAGGUGAGUGGAAUUCCCAGUGUAGAGGUGAAAUUCGUAGAUAUUCGGAGGAACACCAGUGGCGAAGGCGGCUCACUGGCUCGGUACUGACGCUGAGGUGCGAAAGCGUGGGGAGCAAACAGG
rnacentral:rRNA from 1 species